rnacentral:rRNA from 1 species
GUAACGCGUGGGUAACCUGCCUUAUACAGGGGGAGUAACAACCAGAAAUGGUUGCUAAUACCGCAUAAGCGCACAGGACCGCAUGGUCCGGUGUGAAAAACUCCGGUGGUAUAAGAUGGACCCGCGUUGGAUUAGCUAGUUGGCAGGGUAACGGCCUACCAAGGCGACGAUCCAUAGCCGGCCUGAGAGGGUGAACGGCCACAUUGGGACUGAGACACGGCCCAGACUCCUACGGGAGGCAGCAUG